AUAGGUUAAUUUUUAUCUUAACUACCAAACUUAGGCUGGAUCGCCUUUUUAUAAGAAAUCUAUUUAAAUACAAGGGAUUAUUUGAACUUCUUUUUAAAAAGCCAAGGGCAUUUUUUGUGUGGUUCUCAGCUUAUAAAUAAAAUAUAUUAAUAGUUGUUUAAUGGGCAUUUAAAAUGCCAACUGCCUGUGACUGUUUUUAGUGCAUUCUUCAAACACCACUUGGAGACCUGAAACUGCCCCCUCGGUUCAGUCCACAAGGGGACUGCCACCUUGCCAUGGGCCAGGUAUACCCAGCCCAGCGAGGCCAAGCUCAUUGCUCUGAACAGAUGGUGAUUUUCAAACUGAAUGCUAUUCUGGUGUACUUAUUUAGGAACAAGAUCUAAAAAUAGACUUGAAUGAGCAUAACCUGCAAAAAUAAGUUGUCAGCUUCUUUUUACUCCUGGAGGGUUGAAAACAAAGCUGUCAGCAAUUUCUGCGAGCUGAGGAAUCUGUAUACUUUCUUAUUUUAGAGAGAGCUUUUUCAGUGGGACUGUAAUUGAGUCCCCUUAAAUCUUUGUGUCAACAAAUUACCAUCUGUUGUUCUAGAGACUCUCAAAUUGGUGAGACUCGCUGCUGCUUACUGCCGGGGUGGAGGGGGAUGCUAUCGUUUGCCCUUGUGGACAUGAGCUUUGGAGAGGGAAUGGGUGCCGCUGGUAUCCGACGUCAUUGCAGGAAUGAGUCCAGGCUCUGCCAGCCCCCAUUACCCAGACCCUGGGGUCUUGUAGAGGUAGUGAUUGAGAGAUGCCUGGGAGUAUGGGCUUGGAGACAGGGGUGGCACUGAGGUGGAGAGGAAACCCCAGCCAGUUUUGGCGGGGCCUCAGGGGAGUCUCAACACCUGUUGGUGGCUGGGGUCAUAGUAGCCCAGAGCGCUGGGUUUUGAGUAAAUCCAUGAAGCGCUCAGCCCUUCUUUAUAAGGUACUUGGUGUAGCCUUUGUGGCAGGAAACCACAGAGCACUUACUAAUUUACAUUCCCACCAAUAGUAUAUAAGUUCCCUUUUCUCUGCAUCCUUGCUAACAUCUGUUAUUUUUUGUCUUUUUAAUAAUAGCCAUUCUGUCUGGUGUAAGAUGAUAUUUCAUUGUGUUUUUAAUUUGCGUUUCUCUGAUGAUUAAUGAUUUUGAGCAUUCUUUCUUAUGUUUGUUGGCCAUUUGUAUGUCUUCUUUUGAAAAAUGUCUAUUCAUGUUCUUUGCCCACUUUUUAAUGGGAUUAUUUGAGGUUUUUUUGUUGAGUUGUUUGAGUUUCUUAUAAAUUCUGACUGUCAGUCCCUGUCAAAAUGCAUAGUUUGCAAAUAUUUUCUCCCAUUUCACUAGUUGUUUGUUCACUCAGCUGAUUAUUUCCUUUGCUGUGCAGAAGCUUUUUAGUUUAAUUAAAUCCCAUUUGUCUGUUUUUGUUUCUGUUGCCUGUGCUUUUGAGGUCUUGGUGAUGAAUUUUUUGCCUAGACCAAUGUUGAGAAGUUUUCCCUAGGUUUUCUUUUAGUACUUUUAUAGUUUCAGAUCUUACAUUUAAUUCAUCUUGAGUUGACUUUUUUUAUCUGGUGAGAGAAUACGAUCCACUUUCAUUCUUCUGCAAAUGACAAUCCAGUUUUUCUAGCACAAUUUACUAAAAAGAGUGUCCUUCCCCCAGUAUAUGUUCUUGUUGACUUUAUCAAAGAUCAGUUGGCUAUAAAUAUGUGAUUUUAUUCCUGUGUUAUCUACUCUGCUCCAUUGAUUUGUGUGUUUAUACCAGUUCCAUGCUGUUUUGGUUACUGUAGCCUGGUGGUAUAAUUUGAAAUCAGAUAAUAUGAUGGCUCCAGCUUUGUUCUUUUUGCUUGGGAUUGCUUUGGCUAUUUGGGCUCUUUUUCAGUUCCAUAUGAAUUUUAG
rnacentral:lncRNA from 1 species